AGGGUUUGAUCAUGGCUCAGAUUGAACGCUGGCGGCAGGCUUAACACAUGCAAGUCGAACGCCCCGCAAGGGGAGUGGCAGACGGGUGAGUAACGCGUGGGAACAUACCCUUUCCUGCGGAAUAGCUCCGGGAAACUGGAAUUAAUACCGCAUACGCCCUACGGGGGAAAGAUUUAUCGGGGAAGGAUUGGCCCGCGUUGGAUUAGCUAGUUGGUGGGGUAAAGUCCUACCAAGGCGACGAUCCAUAGCUGGUCUGAGAGGAUGAUCAGCCACACUGGGACUGAGACACGGCCCAGACUCCUACGGGAGGCAGCAGUGGGGAAUCUUAGACAAUGGGGGCAACCCUGAUCUAGCCAUGCCGCGUGAGUGAUGAAGGCCCUAGGGUUGUAAAGCUCUUUCAGCUGGGAAGAUAAUGACGGUACCAGCAGAAGAAGCCCCGGCUAACUCCGUGCCAGCCGCCGCGGUAAUAC
rnacentral:rRNA from 1 species